AUGCUCAGAGUGAAGGAAGAGCCUGAUCCACUGCCUGUUUUUGUACGGUAUUUCAAUGCCUUUGUGUCACUGUGGUACACGUUUGGUGGAGGAACCAGACUGAGCGUUGGAAGUGAUGUCCGUCCCACCCUGACGGUGCUGCCCCCCUCCAGGGAGGAGCUGCAGCGGGGGACGGCCACGCUGGUGUGCCUGGCCAACAAGGGCUUCCCCUCCGACUGGAGUCUGGCCUGGAAGGUGGACGGCAGCAGCAGCAGCUGGGAGGAGAGCAGGAGCCCCGGGGUGCUGGGGGGGGGCGCCCUCUACAGCUGGAGCAGCACCCUGAGGCUCCCUGCAGACCAGUGGGCCAAGGUGGGCUCUGUGACCUGUGAGGCCACCCAGGGCUCCCAGCCUAAGCUCUCAGAGACGCUGAGGAGAGACCAGUGUUCCCAGUGAGCUGAGCCACUGGGGCUCUGGUACUGGUUC